rnacentral:tRNA from 1 species
AUUUAAAUAGUUUAAUAAAAAAUUUUGAUUUGUGGUAUCAAAGAUAUAAAAAUUUUUAUUUUAAAUC